UUCCGUAGGUGAACCUGCGGAAGGAUCAUUACCUAGAGUUUGUGGGCUUUGCCCGCUACCUCUUACCCAUGUCUUUUGAGUACUUACGUUUCCUCGGCGGGUCCGCCCGCCGAUUGGACAAAAUCAAACCCUUUGCAGUUGCAAUCAGCGUCUGAAAAACAUAAUAGUUACAACUUUCAACAACGGAUCUCUUGGUUCUGGCAUCGAUGAAGAACGCAGCGAAAUGCGAUAAGUAGUGUGAAUUGCAGAAUUCAGUGAAUCAUCGAAUCUUUGAACGCACAUUGCGCCCCUUGGUAUUCCAUGGGGCAUGCCUGUUCGAGCGUCAUUUGUACCUUCAAGCUUUGCUUGGUGUUGGGUGUUUGUCUCGCCUCUGCGUGUAGACUCGCCUUAAAACAAUUGGCAGCCGGCGUAUUGAUUUCGGAGCGCAGUACAUCUCGCGCUUUGCACUCAUAACGACGACGUCCAAAAGUACAUUUUUACACUCUUGACCUCGGAUCAGGUAGGGAUACCCGCUGAACUUAAGCAUAUCAAUAAGCGGAGGAAUU
rnacentral:rRNA from 1 species